UCGGACAUGAGUAGAGUGGCGAACGGGUGAGUAACACGUAAGAAUCUACCUAUCAGUGAAGAAUACCUUCGGGAAACCGAGGUUAAUACUGCAUACGUCCUACGGGAGAAAGGAGGCCUCUUGCUUCCGCUGAUAGAUGAGCUUGCGGACUAUUAGUUUGUUGGUGAGGUAAUGGCUCACCAAGACGAUGAUGGAUAGCCGGCCUGAGAGGGUGACCGGCCACAUUGGGACUGAGAUACGGCCCAGACUCC
rnacentral:rRNA from 1 species